rnacentral:rRNA from 1 species
CAGGAUGAACGCUGGCGGCGUGCUUAACACAUGCAAGUCGAACGAAGCACCUGAGAAUGAUUCUUCGGAUGAAGUCUCUUGUGACUGAGUGGCGGACGGGUGAGUAACGCGUGGGUAACCUGCCCUUUUGUGGGGAACAACUUCGAGAAAUCGGAGCUAAUACCGCAUAAUAAUAGAGGAUCGCAUGAUUCUUUAAGGAAAGAUGGCCUCUGAAGAUGCUAUCGCAAAAGGAUGGACCCGCGUCUGAUUAGCUGGUUGGUGAGGUAACGGCCCACCAAGGCGACGAUCAGUAGCCGACCUGAGAGGGUGGCCGGCCACAUUGGGACUGAGACACGGCCCAAACUCCUACGGGAGGCAGCAGUGGGGAAUUUUCGUCAAUGGGGGGAACCCUGAACGAGCAAUGCCGCGUGAGCGAGGAAGGUCUUCGGAUCGUAAAGCUCUGUUGCCGGGGACAAAAGGCAGAAAGAGUGGAAAGCUUUCUGAGUGAUGGUACCCGGCGAGGAAGUCACGGCUAACUACGUGCCAGCAGCCGCGGUAAUACGUAGGUGGCGAGCGUUAUCCGGAAUGAUUGGGCGUAAAGGGUGCGCAGGCGGCCGGGCAAGUCCGCAGUAAAAACUGGAGGC